AGUCGAACGCAGUAGCAAUACUGAGUGGCAGACGGGUGAGUAACAUGUGGGAAUCUGCCUUGUGGUUCAGGACAACAUUGGGAAACCGAUGCUAAUACUGGAUAAGCCCUUACGGGGAAAGUUUUAAUGCCAUAAGAUGAGCCCGCAUUUGAUUAGUUAGUUGGUGAGGUAAUGGCUCACCAAGACAAUGAUCAAUAGCUGAUCUGAGAGGAUGAUCAGCCACACUGGGACUGAGACACGGCCCAGACUCC
rnacentral:rRNA from 1 species